UAGGCAAAUGGCGGCUCAGAAGGCAGCAUAGGAAGGCAGCAGCCGCGGCAGGCGAGAGCCUCCUCGCGAUUCCGCUUUUCUGCGCAAGAUGACAUUUCGCUGUUACAAGAAGUUCACGCCCUCAACCCGUUUGAGGACCCAUCGCGAUGGGCCCAAAUCGCAAACAACCUUCUUCCAGCCACCGGCAAAAGUUUUAGCGCGCGAGUGGUACGCGACCGCCUCGACCUGCUGCUCGCGCAGUUUGCUGCAGAGGAUCGUGCCAACUCAAGAAGAAUGGCAGCGCAACUGCGGACACAUGCCGUGCCUCCACUUCCACUGAUGCUGCUGCUGCAGCGUACGUGGCAACCUCUUCGGUUGUCGAAGUACCGGAAAGUGCUGGCAACAUAUGGACCACUUGUGUUGUGGAUACGGCAGAGCUCCUCUCGGCAGCAGAUGCAGGCGAAACAUAUGAAAUUGUUGGUCUUGACGUGAGCAGAGAGUUACCUGCAGCUGCCACGGGCACCCCUUCGAUCGAUGUUGGAGGCCAUGCAUCUGCAGCUUCACCCGAGCAGACCAUGGAACCUGAAGCUAGCCGUCAGGUGCAGAGGGG
rnacentral:misc_RNA from 1 species